AAUGAGGCGAACCGGGGGAACUGAAACAUCUAAGUACCCCGAGGAAAAGAAAUCAACCGAGAUUCCCCCAGUAGCGGCGAGCGAACGGGGAGGAGCCCAGAGCCUGAAUCAGCAUGUGUGUUAGUGGAAGCGUCUGGAAAGGCGCGCGAUACAGGGUGAGAGCCCCGUACACAAAAGCGCAUAUGCUGUGAGCUCGAUGAGUAGGGCGGGACACGUGGUAUCCUGUCUGAAUAUGGGGGGACCAUCCUCCAAGGCUAAAUACUCCUGACUGACCGAUAGUGAACCAGUACCGUGAGGGAAAGGCGAAAAGAACCCCGGCGAGGGGAGUGAAACAGAACCUGAAACCGUG
rnacentral:rRNA from 1 species